GGGUGCGAUCAUACCAACGUUAAUGCAACGAAUCCCAUCAGAACUCCACAGUUAAGCACGCUUGGGCUAGAGUAGUACUGGGAUGGGUGACCUCCCGAGAAGUCCUAGUGUUGCACCCU
rfam:Picea glauca, whole genome shotgun sequence.